GUGCUUGCUUUGGCGGCACAUAUACCAAAAUUGGAAUGAUACAGAGAAGAUUAGCAUGGCCCCUGCACAAGGAUGACACACAAAUUUGUGAUGCAAAUUUGAGAGGUUGUU
ensembl:snRNA U6 U6 spliceosomal RNA